rnacentral:rRNA from 1 species
UACGUAGGGUGCGAGCGUUAAUCGGAAUUACUGGGCGUAAAGCGUGCGCAGGCGGCUUUGCAAGACAGGCGUGAAAUCCCCGGGCUCAACCUGGGAAUUGCGCUUGUGACUGCAAAGCUGGAGUGCGGCAGAGGGGGAUGGAAUUCCGCGUGUAGCAGUGAAAUGCGUAGAUAUGCGGAGGAACACCGAUGGCGAAGGCAAUCCCCUGGGCCUGCACUGACGCUCAUGCACGAAAGCGUGGGGAGCAAACAGG